GGAAAUUGACGGGGGCCCGCACAAGCGGUGGAGCAUGUGGUUUAAUUCGAAGCAACGCGAAGAACCUUACCAGGUCUUGACAUCCCGAUGCUAUUUCUAGAGAUAGAAAGUUACUUCGGUACAUCGGUGACAGGUGGUGGCAUGGUUGUCGUCAGCUCGUGUCGUGAGAUGUUGGGUUAAGUCCCGCAACGAGCGCAACCCUAUUGUUAGUUGCCAUCAUUCAGUUGGGCACUCUAGCGAGACUGCCGGUAAUAAACCGGAGGAAGUGGGGAUGACGUCAAAUCAUCAUGCCCCUUAUGACCUGGGCUACACACGUGCUACAAUGGUUGGUACAACGAGUUGCGAGUCGGUGACGGCGAGCUAAUCUCUUAAAGCCAAUCUCAGUUCGGAUUGUAGGCUGCAACUCGCCUACAUGAAGUCGGAAUCGCUAGUAAUCGCGGAUCAGCACGCCGCGGUGAAUACGUUCCCGGGCCUU
rnacentral:rRNA from 1 species